AAGUCGUAACAAGGUUUCCGUAGGUGAACCUGCGGAAGGAUCAUUAACAAAUUUUGGGAUUUAUUCCAUAAGCGCGACGGCUUUAGUGCUGUCGUUGGUGUCCAUGGCUCGAGGGUCGGGAUGCCAUGAGGGAAGGCAAUAGACUAGCAACACAUUGUCGCGCUUGCAGCACGGCUGUGCUCUUGUAGCACUUCUGAUGCGCUUGCAGUGCUUUCUGGAGCCAGCUCCUUUGCCUUUUUCUCACAUUUGCGCAAUUUAAUGUUUGUUGGGUUGACUGAAUGAUAACCAAUGAGAUAAAUA
rnacentral:misc_RNA from 1 species